rnacentral:rRNA from 1 species
CACAAGCGGAGGAACAUGUGGUUUAAUUCGAUGAUACGCGAGGAACCUUACCCGGGCUUAAAUGGGGAGUGACAGCUGUCGAAAGAUGGUUUUCUUCGGACACUCUUCAAGGUGCUGCAUGGUUGCCGUCAGCUCGUGCCGUGAGGUGUCGGGUUAAGUCCCAUAACGAGCGCAACCCUUACCGUUAGUUACCAUCAGGUUAAGCUGGGGACUCUAGCGGGACUGCCACCGUAAGGUGAGAGGAAGGUGGGGAUGACGUCAAAUCAGCACGGCCCUUAUGUCCAGGGCUACACACGUGUUACAAUGGCCGGUACAAAGGGCAGCUACUUCGCGAGAAGAUGCUAAUCUCGAAAGCCGGUCUCAGUUCGGAUCGAAGUCUGCAACCCGACUUCGUGAAGCUGGAUUCGCUAGUAAUCGCGCAUCAGCCAUGGCCGCGGUCCGAAUACGUUCCGGGCCUU